UCCUAAGUAGCUCAGAUGGUAAAGAAUCUGCCUGCAAUGCAGAAGACCCGGGCUCAAUCCCUGGGUCGGGAA
rnacentral:tRNA from 1 species